rnacentral:rRNA from 1 species
GGCGUGCUUAACACAUGCAAGUCGAACGAUGAACCACUUCGGUGGCGAUUAGUGGCGAACGGGUGAGUAACACGUGGGCAAUCUGCCCUUCACUCUGGGACAAGCCGUGGAAACGGGGUCUAAUACCGGAUAACACUGCGGAUCGCAUGGUCUGUGGUUAAAAGCUCCGGCGGUGAAGGAUGAGCCCGCGGCCUAUCAGCUUGUUGGUGAGGUAAUGGCUCACCAAGGCGACGACGGCUAGCCGGCCUGAGAGGGCGACCGGCCACACUGGGACUGAGACACGGCCCAGACUCCUACGGGAGGCAGCAGUGGGCAAUAUUGCACAAUGGGCGAAAGCCUGAUGCAGCGACGCCGCGUGAGGGAUGACGGCCUUCGGGUUGUAAACCUCUUCCAGCAGGGAAGAAGCGAAAGUGACGGUACCUGCAGAAGAAGCGCCGGCUAACUACGUGCCAGCAGCCGCGGUAAUACGUAGGCCGCAAGCGUUGUCCGGAAUUAUUGGGCGUAAAGAGCUCGUAGGCGGCUUGUCACGUCGAUUGUGAAAGCCCGAGGCUUAACCUCGGCUCUGCAGUCGAUACGGGCUAGCUAGAGUGUGGUAGGGCAGAUCGGAAUUCCUGGGUAGCGGUGAAAUGCGCAGAUAUCAGGAGGAACACCGGUGGGGAAGGCGGAUCUCUGGGCCAUUACUGACGCUGAGGAGCGAAAGCGUGGGGAGC